GCCGAAGUGGCGGAAUUGGUAGACGCGCUAGAUUCAGGUUCUAGUGAGCUUAGGCUCGUGGAGGUUCAAGUCCUCUUUUCGGCACCA
rnacentral:tRNA from 1 species